CCACCUUCCCUAUCAGCUCAACUCCCGUCCCCUGUUUCAAAAAAAAAAAAACUCAACUCCCGUCCCCAACUCGCUGCCCUACCCCAACUCCCGUCCAACCUUCUUCCCCGGCGGCAACCGCGGAGAAUCCCCGCCCAGCCUCCUUCCCCGCGGCGGCAGCGGCGAAUCCCCACCCAGCCUCCUUCCCCGCGGCGGCAGCGGCGAAUCCCCGCCCAGCCUUCUACCCCGCGGCGGCGGCGAAUCCCCGCCCAGCCUUCUUCCCCGCGGCGGCGGCGGCGAAUCCCCGCCCAGCCUUCUUCCCUGGCGGCGGCGGCGAAUCCCCGCGCCGCGUCCUUCAUGGCGGUAGCACUGCAUCUUUGUGCCGCCUUCUUCGCCGGCGGAACCAUCUCAUCUCCGCUCCACCACCUUGCUCGGCUGCCACGACAUCACCCGGCGACCUCCUUCAUUUCCAUGGCUGCAACGCUCACCCGCUACAAGCCCCCUCACUCUCUCUCAUGGUCUACCCCGCGCCAUCCAUGGGAGUUCAUAGAUCGUCGCUGUGGGUGUCCAUCGGCGCCGCCCCGUGCUUCCCCCUGAGUGUAGCGGCGGCCUCGCCGAAAUUCGUCGAGCGUGGGAGAGUGGUCUGACCAGAAACCCUGGAUUCCCCUCCUCGGUGGCCACAUGGUUGGUCCCUGAUUUAGUAUUCUCGCUGGCGUCAAUGGGUUAUGCGGUUGCAUCGUUGAGCCCAUCUUACCAUCGAUCCCCAUGAGUAUGUACUCACAUAUCUGAUUACUUGAUAAAGCACAAGCCAAGGAUUAUGCACGAGUGUUACUGCUGCUAGUAUCUGUUAGCUUUUUUUUCUAGUGGAUCAUAACGGGUUCUGAUUACAACAUGCUAGUCUGGUUAGUUAAUAUACUUGCUGGCUUAUGAGUUGAUGUAUUUCUUUGUUGAUUGUAUCUAUUGUAUAUGUAUUUAGUUACUGCGUGGAAGUUCAUUUGUUCACAUGUGUAUUCACUUUUCGGAUUGGUUUUAGCUAGAAUAGCGGGUGAUGGUGCACUGCUUCCGAACUUCUGCUACUGUAUCUGAGACAGUUUCUACAGAUUGUCUUUUCUUAAUUUAUUUGGAAAAUGUUCACUUUUCAGUGUCAGAAAGUUCAUUCGUUGUUUCUUGGAUGAUAAAUUUUUGCACAAACAUUACAGGAAAUAGAUGUAUUUGUUGUUGAUGUGUGGAUAAUAGGAACAUAUCUCAAGUUCACUUUUCCUAUUGAUGGAAGUGCAGUUUUAUAUUUGCAUGAUUUCGAGGAGCACCAGGCCAUUCUCCUGGCCGUUGGAGUACUUAAAAGUUCAGAUGUGAGACCCCCCAACAUCCAAGGACAGUACUACGACGGUACUCCAAGACUGGCCCGAUCCCGGAGAUGUUACAUAUCCUUCUUGAUUUUCAUAUUGUUGUUGUUCAGAUUGACACUCUGGGGGUGCAUUUGUUAUAAAAUAUUUUGCUUCAUUCAUUUGAUGUUGGGCUCAUAUGUAGUUCAAACGGAGAGAUUUUCAGUCAUACUUCUAGUUUCCAGAUGUUAGAUGAAUGUCUCAUAUGCUUGCAUCAUUCACUGGUUUAUUAUAGCAUUGCAUUGCAAUACUGGGUACGUUCGCCUUUUUUUUCUGGGAUUUUGCAUUGUCCAUUAUUUUUUGGCAAGUUCACAUCGCCACCGCGUUGAAGUUCACUUUCUCUCUGUCUGAAAGUUCAGCUUUUUGGGCAAGUUCAGAUCGUCCACAUAUGAGUUCAAGAUUUAUUAUAUGUACCAGCAGUAUAAAAUACAUAUGUUAAAAUUUCACUUUCGAUGAUGGCCUGGUUAUCUUAUCAUUAUUCAGUAGUGGUAUAGAAAGCUCUCCACGUUUCUUUCUUGAUGCACAAAUAUACAAUAGAAUAUGCUAUAGAAAGCUCCCUGCAUAUUUUUCAUCAGAAUAUCCGUAUUGCACAAGAAAGAAGAAGGCAUAGUUCAAUUGUAAACUUCUGAUGUACUUCAAUUCAUUUUUGUAGUUAGUUCGGUUCUUCAGCCAUUUUUAGUUCUCUUCAAUAGUCGCUGUUCUCUUCAUUAGUUCCGACAGUUCGCGUUCCUUAACACGGAAGUGCACUUGGUGUAUGUAUAAACUUUUUAUUUCUUAGUUUGUCUCCCAACAAGCAUUUGCAUGCCAUUGCUUCAUACAACCCUUUCAUCCAUGUAUGUAUAAACUAGUCUGUUAGUAAAACCAAGUGCAUAUACGAAUGUAUAUAAUGGUAUGAAGCGAUGAUGGACACUGAAUGUGUGAAACAGAGCAGUGUACACCCACUUUGUUUUGACCUAGAAUAGAAGUUCUAUUUACUGUAAAAAAAGUGGAAAAAUAGGAAGUUCACUAGCUAAGCUACAGCGGUUCUUUAUUUGAGAAGUUUGUGAAGCUCAAUUCUAUUAAUUUGCGAAGUUCACAUUUACUACUAUUUUCAUUUUUUUCUCGCCUAGGAGUUCAACUAUUCAUUUAUAUGUUGAUGUAUGUCUGACAACAUGUUACUUCUACAAUUAAAAAAAUUCAGGAGGUUCGCCUUUUUUCCUGUCCUAAAGUUCAUUCUCUGUUGGCAGGAAGUUAGUUUGCGUUUGUGCAAAUAGUCGAGCAGCUACAGGAUGCCGACGAUAUUCUCUCAGGAGCAUUGCCAGGACGAGUGCAGACCUUUGGGGUUGCUCCCGAUGGCAAGCAUAUCUGGUAUCUUCCCGAAUAAGUGUAUGAAAAUGAAGACACUUAGCGUUUGUUCAGUUUGGUAUCGUGUGUCUCCGCCACAUGGUGAAGUGAAUACAGAUUGGAAGUUCAUUGAAACAUUUUCCGGAAGCUCACUAAUUAUUUGCGCAAGUAGUUCAGUUUUACCAACAAAUAAAAGAGAAAAAUUCACGGAAAAAAUUAAGAGAUGCACCAUCUACUUCUAAACAUAUGUCCAGAGCAUGGCAGUCCACUACACUCUCUCCUGGAGUCCACUGCUUACAGCCGUGCGUACAGCGGUAGUCCAGUGCGUGAGGCUGGAGAGUCCACCGGUGCGUUAUGCCGGGAGUCCAAUGGACCAGUGUCCGGAGUCCACCUCAUGCGCGCACGUUUGGAUGCUCAGGAAUGAGGCAGUGCUUUUGUGUCCCGUUGCUGAUGAUUAUUUCAUUUCUACAGCUUGUGAUGUUCACUUCUUUUCUGAGAAAAUAUCACUUUGUAAUCACAGAAAGUUAACUGUAACAAAUUAUGCAGUAUAAUUGGCAUGAAUAUUGGUUUCCCUGCCC